GGCAGAGAUGACUAAUGCUUUAUUCUGACACCUUGUAUGAGAAGAGCGUUUGCUCUUUUAUGAGCACAUAAAGCAACUCUCUGAGCC
rnacentral:snoRNA from 1 species